GCCCAGACUCCUACGGGAGGCAGCAGUGGGGAAUAUUGCACAAUGGGGGGAACCCUGAUGCAGCGACGCCGCGUGAGUGAAGAAGUCAUUCGUGAUGUAAAGCUCUAUCAGCAGGGAAGAAAAUGACGGUACCUGACUAAGAAGCCCCGGCUAACUACGUGCCAGCAGCCGCGGUAAUACGUAGGGAGCAAGCGUUAUCCGGAUUUACUGGGUGUAAAGGGCGUGUAGGCGGGCCUGCAAGUCAGAAGUGAAAUCUGGGGGCUUAACCCCCAAACUGCUUUUGAAACUGUGGGUCUUGAGUGAUGGAGAGGCAGGCGGAAUUCCCAGUGUAGCGGUGAAAUGCGUAGAUAUUGGGAGGAACACCAGUGGCGAAGGCGGCCUGCUGGACAUUAACUGACGCUGAGGCGCGAAAGCGUGGGGAGCAAACAGGAUUAGAUACCCCGGUA
rnacentral:rRNA from 1 species